rnacentral:rRNA from 1 species
UACAGAGGGUGCAAGCGUUAAUCGGAAUUACUGGGCGUAAAGCGCGCGUAGGUGGUUGUGUAAGUUGGAUGUGAAAGCCCCGGGCUUAACCUGGGAACUGCAUUCAAAACUGCACGGCUAGAGUAUGGCAGAGGGGGGUGGAAUUCCACGUGUAGCAGUGAAAUGCGUAGAGAUGUGGAGGAACACCGAUGGCGAAGGCAGCCCCCUGGGCCAAUACUGACGCUCAUGCACGAAAGCGUGGGGAGCAAACAGGAUUAGAUACCCUAGUAGU